GGGGUUAUAGGUUAGUAAGACCAUAAGUUUCCAAAACUUGAAGUGUGAGUAAAUCACUGACCCCU
rnacentral:tRNA from 1 species